rnacentral:rRNA from 1 species
CUGCUGCCUUCCGUAGGAGUCUGGGCCGUAUCUCAGUCCCAAUGUGGCCGUUCAGUCNCUCAACCCGGCUACUGAUCGUAGGCUUGGUGAGCCGUUACCUCACCAACUACCUAAUCAGACGCGAGCCCAUCUCAGAGCAAUAAAUCUUUGGUCAUUAAGUGAUGCCACCCAAUGACAUUAUGCGGUAUUAGCAGAGGUUUCCCCCUGUUGUCCCCCACUCCGAGGCAGGUUGCUCACGCGUUACU